rnacentral:rRNA from 1 species
UACGUAGGGGGCAAGCGUUGUCCGGAUUUAUUGGGCGUAAAGGAGCGUGUAGGCGGCCAGAUAGGUCCGUUGUGAAAACUGGAGGCUUAACCCUCCAGCUGUCGAUGGAAACCAUCUGGCUAGAGUCCGGAAGGAGGAGAGUGGAACUUCCGUGGUGUACGGCGGUGAAAUGCGCAGAUAUCAGGAAGAACACCCGUGGCGAAGGCGGCGUCUCUGGGACGGUACUCGACGCCUGAGACGCGAAAGCGUGGGGAGCGAACAGG